rnacentral:rRNA from 1 species
CGCUGCUACCAUGCAGUCGAGCGAUGAAGUCCCUUCGGGGACGGAUUAGCGGCGGACGGGUGAGUAACACGUGGGCAACCUGCCUCAAAGAGGGGGAUAGCCUCCCGAAAGGGAGAUUAAUACCGCAUAACAUUAGAGCAUCACAUGAUGCUUUAAUCAAAGGAGUAAUCCGCUUUGAGAUGGGCCCGCGGCGCAUUAGCUAGUUGGUGAGGUAACGGCUCACCAAGGCAACGAUGCGUAGCCGACCUGAGAGGGUGAUCGGCCACAUUGGAACUGAGACACGGUCCAGACUCCUACGGGAGGCAGCAGUGGGGAAUAUUGCACAAUGGGGGAAACCCUGAUGCAGCAACGCCGCGUGAGUGAUGAAGGUCUUCGGAUUGUAAAGCUCUGUCUUUUGGGACGAUAAUGACGGUACCAAAGGAGGAAGCCACGGCUAACUACGUGCCAGCAGCCGCGGUAAUACGUAGGUGGCAAGCGUUGUCCGGAAUUAUUGGGCGUAAAGCGCGCGCAGGCGGGAUGGUAAGUCUAACUUAAAAGUGCGGGGCUCAACUCCGUGAGGGGUUGGAAACUACCAUUCUUGAGUGCAGGAGAGGAAAGUGGAAUUCCUAGUGUAGCGGUGAAAUGCGUAGAGAUCGGGAGGAACACCAGUGGCGAAGGCGGCCUGCUGGGCCUUAACUGACGCUGAGGCACGAAAGCAUG